AGGUUAUUUCCACGUUAUCCCAGAACCAACCAAAAGCAGCGAACCUCCGUCAAACCAAAAAAGAAAGCACAAACACAAAGCAGCCUUGAGGGAAAAAAAAACACAAAGCAGCCUUGAAACUAUUCCGAUUUUGUUUGGUUGUUUGAAAAAAAAAAGAGCAAAAAAGAUGGUGUUCUACUUCAAAGCCAGACCAGAGGCAGGAGAUUACACUAUUUUUAUGGGUCUUGACAAGCACGAGAACGAGGAGCUUAUCAAAUAUGGUUUCCCUGAAGACAUCUGGUUUCACGUGGACAAAAUGUCUUCUGCCCAUGUUUAUUUAAGGCUGCAUAAAGGUCAGACCAUCGAUGGUAUAAGUGAAGGUGUACUUGAGGAUUGUGUGCAGCUUGUCAAAGCAAAUUCGAUUCAAGGCAACAAGGUGAACAACAUCGAUGUUGUUUACACUCCAUGGGCCAAUUUGAAGAAAACUGCUUCCAUGGAUGUUGGCCAAGUCGGCUUCCACAAUUCAAAGAUGGUUCGAACUGUGAGAGUGGAAAAGCGGAUAAAUGAGAUAGUUAAUAGAUUGAACAAAACAAAGGUGGAAAGAAAGCCUGAUUUGAAAGCCGAGAGAGAAGCAGUCAAUGCAGCAGAAAGAGCAGAGAGAAAGCUUCAUCUGAGAGAUAAAAAACGACGUGAGGAAAUGGAAAGGCUUGAAAAGGAGAGACAGGCAGAGAUGAGGAGCUACAAGGGUUUGAUGGUGGCUGAAAAGAUGACAUCUAAUAAACAAAUAGCAUCUGAAAACAAGUCCUUGCAGGAGCUGGAAGAUGACUUUAUGUGAAACAACAGUAUCUAAAGGUUCUGCCAUACUGCUGCCCCUUAAAGAAGCGGGCUUGUCAUUCAGUUUGUAACUUCAAGCAUUUUAUGAAUAAACUUAUAAAUUUUGGGAAGGGAAUGUUUAAUGCCGAGCAGAGGGAGGAGAGUGGUGGGUUGAGGUUGAUGGAUGGGGAAUUACCUGUCUGAUGUCAUCAUCAAGCCUUCAGAUUUUUGGUUUUUUUCAGGUCAGCCAUUUGCUGACUGAUUCACACAGAAUGCUCCACGGUCUGAUGUGGUGUAUUCAGGUCAUGGGCAUAUCCUUUCCGUUUCACAAAUUGAAAAGUGGAUAUUGAAUUAGAUGGAUUCUUUGUGACUUGCUUACCAGUGCAUCUUAGAAAACUACUAACUAUGAAGUUAUGGAAAGUUUGACGAGCAAGAAAACGAGGGUUAUCACGCCAUAUUUUUCAAUUGCUAGACAUGAGUAAUCAAUUCUUUUGGAAAAUCUGUAUGCAUAGUUUCCUGUGAUCUGGAGGGUUGUUUUAUCAUCAUGAGAGCUGACCAUGUCUGCAGAGUUACCAGGUGCAUCAUGGCUAACCCCAUCCGUCCCCGUGAGAACUGAGUCUAUCUCGAGAUCCAUGCAAUUAGUGAAAUGCAAAGCUUAGUUCAUAAAUGUUCAAUACAGGCAAAAGCAAUGAGAUUCCUUCUAUCUGUACCUUCGGUAUUUUCAGAAGGAGAGCGCAGGUAGAAAAGGACACUUCCAGUUGCUGCUGUUUCGACUUCAAAUUCAGACACAAGAAAGAAACCGUACACUCUGCAACCUGAUCUGGAUUUCCCUUGUGACAGGAGAUGGAAUUUUUGUUAGGGAAAGUACUAGAUUGGUAAAAUAUUUAUGUGUUGCAAUUGCUUUUUUUUUAAGAAAAAAAACUUAAUAAUUGAGGUUA